CACGCACUAUUGGAUGAUUAGAAAAAAUAGUUGCACAUGCACAUACACAGAGUUGUGCAUUUGUCAUUGCUUAUGUCUACAUCAUUGUAGGGAUGGUAAUGCUAGUCUGUACAUCCACAAUGUAGACAUAUGGUCCCGAGAGAAUAAAUCCAGCUGACUUUUACUCCAGUGCCACCAUACAGUUGACAUUUAUGGCUUUUGGUGACAUUUGUAGAUUGAUUGUAUCGCCUGCUAUCAAACUUUAUUUAGCCAUUCAUGUUCCCCCCAGGAAGAAGUAUAAUAACUUUGGGGAUCCUCUGACUUUUCAUCUGGAGCCAUUAUCAGGCACGCUUCGUUUCCAAGCACUCAUCACCUGCUUCUGACAACUGCAUUAGGACGAGGGGCCAUUUACUACCAUGUGGACUUUGCACCCAUAAGUUGUCUGGAGUAAGGAUCGCAUCUGUGGUUGAGAAUCCAUCAGUGAAGGCCCACCAACCUUAUAUCCUACACCCAAGGAGCUGCCCAGGAGUGAUCAUUUCAAGAAGCAGCAGGAUUGCUGUUUUACUUGGAGAAGAAGGGCUGUUCAUGACCACAAUUGUUAAAUUAAACUGUACAAUAAAUGUUCAUCUCUUCUCCACAGUUGGAUGUCAGGUGCAUAUUUCAAUUCAAAUCCUUAGGAAAAGAAUAACAAAUUUUAAAACACAAUAAUGUGUCUAUAGGACCACACACUUUGUGUUACAUUUGACACAAUCACUGUGUUUGAACAUCGAACACAAAUCUUGUGUUAAAACCCUCAACACAACAGUUGUUGAAAGUAACACAAAAUGUGUGGUCCUUAUAUAUGAUAUUAACACAUAUGUUUUAAGAGUGCAGGGCACUGGUGUAUAUGUAACAGACUGUAAAGCCCAUUGAUGCACAUUUGUGAUUGUUGAGUUCAGGCUUUGUAAAUAAAACUUGACAAUAAGGAUGGGGAAAAGGAUGGGUUCAUAUUUUCUCAAGACUGGCGUGAAAGCCAUACUUCUUGUUUUGUGCAAAAAUGCAUUCUGAAGGGCAAAACAAAGCUAAUAUGAGAAUACUUUUACAUAAUAUUUUACCUUUCUGCAUGAUUUUAUGCAUUGUACUGUACUACUGCCAACUUAAUUGGCUGAUUGGAUAACUGCAUGAAUAAGCAGCUGUAAUAACAACAUUUAAGGGAUCUCUACAAAAAUGUGUUAAAACAUAAUAGUUGAAAUAUCAUUAUAUUCAAAUAUCAGUAACAGUAUAAAAAUUUCAGUAUUGCUUGUGCUUUAUAGCAAAUGACAUGUUCUAUAUCAGUGCCCAAACAACAGCAGUCACAGAUUUGCUGUGUGUUUUUCUUACCCACAGUCCUGGUCAAGAUUAUUGGCACCACUGAAUUUCGAGUACACAAUUCAGAAAAGGUGUUCAGUGUGCAUAAGACACUUUAUUUUAUUUUACAACAUGAAAGCAGUUUUUGUUGUUGUCCAACAACUUUGGACAUUUUACAUUGGACAUUAUAGAAAAUUGGUUCAUUUGCAUUUAUCACUCAAGCGACUCUAAAUUAUCUGCUUAAAUUUCACAGUUGCCAAUGAUUUUGACCAGGACUGUGUUUUCAAUUUGCCCACAAUGUGGUAGAGUAGGUGUCACUACACUCUCUCAUACACACUCAUGCAUUAACAGCAGAAUAUAGCUAUCAUAAUAUGUACCAUCUCUUGACAUAGGACAGGUCACUCUGAAGACUGCAAAGUCCAUCUCACUAAACACUAAACACCACCUAGUGGUUAAAUCUCACUGCACAGAACGAGGACUGUUGACUCAGUAGCAUUAUCUCUUUAUGACCAGUGUGGACAGCAAAAAAUAAAUAACAGGAAAAAUAAAUAAUUUGACUAAGGUAAUGAAUACAGCAAACAUUAACUUUUUCGACAUACAUAUGGAGUGCAAGUCUUGUAUUAAUAUAGACUUGUAAAAUCUGAUUCUAUUCCUUAAUUUCCCAAUAGCCCAAUAGUAAUGUCACCCAGAAAUAGAAAUAUCCUCAAGGGUUAGUUUUAUUUAUUUUUUUUAUUGCUAACAAGCAUA